rnacentral:rRNA from 1 species
UACGUAGGGGGCAAGCGUUGUCCGGAAUCAUUGGGCGUAAAGCGCGUGUAGGCGGCCAGACAGGUCCGUUGUGAAAACUCGAGGCUCAACCUCGAGACGUCGACGGAAACCGUCUGGCUAGAGUCCGGAAGAGGAGUGUGGAAUUCCUGGUGUAGCGGUGAAAUGCGCAGAUAUCAGGAAGAACACCUAUGGCGAAGGCAGCACUCUGGGACGGUACUGACGCUGAGACGCGAAAGCGUGGGGAGCGAACAGG